rfam:Pontibacillus chungwhensis BH030062 contig3, whole genome shotgun sequence.
AAGACCUUUAAAUGAAGUCCUGUGAGGCUCGAAAGGUCGCAAUGACUAGGCAACGUGUAUCGAUUGGACACGUCUACCUCUUUGCGAGCUUUCGCAAAGAGGUUUUUUUA